rnacentral:rRNA from 1 species
AUAGAACCAUUGCUGCGGUUAAAAAGCUCGUAGUUGGAUCUGCGCCGGCGGGCAAGUCCCCUCCACGUGGGGUGGCACUUGUUUCCGCCGGCUAGUGCCGGAACAGCUGGACAGCUCACCUCGCGUGACUGUUCGUGCUGCCUGGCGUUUUACUUUGAACAAAUCAGAGUGCUCAGCACAGGCGUCUCGCCUGAAUGUUCGUGCAUGGAAUAAUAGAAGAGGAUUUCGGUCCUAUUUUAUUGGUUUUGAGGACUGAGAUAAUGGUUAACAGAGACAAACGGGGGCAUUCGUAUUGCUGCGUGAGAGGUGAAAUUCUUGGACCGCAGCAAGACGGACAACAG